CCUUUGUAACCGAUUUUCGGUGCCUGAUGCCGCUUCGUGGCGGCUUUCAAGGCUUAAAAGGGAAUACCGGAGGCCUUUGAGGCCAGACCGGAGCUGUCCCCGCAACUGUUCGUCUCAGCAUAGAAUUGAUUCGCCCACAUGGCCACUGCAAACCCGGUGUUUGCGGGAAGGCUUGAAUCAACGAGACAAGCCAGGAGACCUGCCGACGAUCUAUCAGCGGU
rnacentral:ncRNA from 1 species